rnacentral:rRNA from 1 species
CCUACGGGAGGCAGCAGUGGGGAAUAUUGCACAAUGGGCGGAAGCCUGAUGCAGCGACGCCGCGUGAGGGAUGAAGGCCCUCGGGUUGUAAACCUCUUUCAGCAGGGACGAAGCGUGAGUGACGGUACCUGCAGAAGAAGCACCGGCUAACUACGUGCCAGCAGCCGCGGUAAUACGUAGGGUGCGAGCGUUGUCCGGAAUUACUGGGCGUAAAGAGUUCGUAGGCGGUUUGUCGCGUCGUUUGUGAAAACCCGGGGCUCAACUUCGGGCUUGCAGGCGAUACGGGCAGACUUGAGUGUUUCAGGGGAGACUGGAAUUCCUGGUGUAGCGGUGAAAUGCGCAGAUAUCAGGAGGAACACCGGUGGCGAAGGCGGGUCUCUGGGAAACAACUGACGCUGAGGAACGAAAGCGUGGGUAGCAAACAGGAUUAGAUACCCUGGUAGUCCACGCCGUAAACGGUGGCGCUAGGUGUGGGUUCCUUCCACGGGAUCUGUGCCGUAGCUAACGCAUUAAGCGCCCGCCUGGGGAGUACGCGCAGACAACACAAGAAUAGACGCGNGAGACGNGCGACGCGACGACGAGGAGAG